rnacentral:rRNA from 2 species
CUCUGGUAUUGAUUGGUGCUUGCAUCAUGAUUUACAUUUGAGUGAGUGGCGAACUGGUGAGUAACACGUGGGAAACCUGCCCAGAAGCGGGGGAUAACACCUGGAAACAGAUGCUAAUACCGCAUAACAACUUGGACCGCAUGGUCCGAGCUUGAAAGAUGGCUUCGGCUAUCACUUUUGGAUGGUCCCGCGGCGUAUUAGCUAGAUGGUGGGGUAACGGCUCACCAUGGCAAUGAUACGUAGCCGACCUGAGAGGGUAAUCGGCCACAUUGGGACUGAGACACGGCCCAAACUCCUACGGGAGGCAGCAGUAGGGAAUCUUCCACAAUGGACGAAAGUCUGAUGGAGCAACGCCGCGUGAGUGAAGAAGGGUUUCGGCUCGUAAAACUCUGUUGUUAAAGAAGAACAUAUCUGAGAGUAACUGUUCAGGUAUUGACGGUAUUUAACCAGAAAGCCACGGCUAACUACGUGCCAGCAGCCGCGGUAAUACGUAGGUGGCAAGCGUUGUCCGGAUUUAUUGGGCGUAAAGCGAGCGCAGGCGGUUUUUUAAGUCUGAUGUGAAAGCCUUCGGCUCAACCGAAGAAGUGCAUCGGAAACUGGGAAACUUGAGUGCAGAAGAGGACAGUGGAACUCCAUGUGUAGCGGUGAAAUGCGUAGAUAUAUGGAAGAACACCAGUGGCGAAGGCGGCUGUCUGGUCUGUAACUGACGCUGAGGCUCGAAAGUAUGGGUAGCAAACAGGAUUAGAUACCCUGGUAGUCCAUACCGUAAACGAUGAAUGCUAAGUGUUGGAGGGUUUCCGCCCUUCAGUGCUGCAGCUAACGCAUUAAGCAUUCCGCCUGGGGAGUACGGCCGCAAGGCUGAAACUCAAAGGAAUUGACGGGGGCCCGCACAAGCGGUGGAGCAUGUGGUUUAAUUCGAAGCUACGCGAAGAACCUUACCAGGUCUUGACAUACUAUGCAAAUCUAAGAGAUUAGACGUUCCCUUCGGGGACAUGGAUACAGGUGGUGCAUGGUUGUCGUCAGCUCGUGUCGUGAGAUGUUGGGUUAAGUCCCGCAACGAGCGCAACCCUUAUUAUCAGUUGCCAGCAUUAAGUUGGGCACUCUGGUGAGACUGCCGGUGACAAACCGGAGGAAGGUGGGGAUGACGUCAAAUCAUCAUGCCCCUUAUGACCUGGGCUACACACGUGCUACAAUGGAUGGUACAACGAGUUGCGAACUCGCGAGAGUAAGCUAAUCUCUUAAAGCCAUUCUCAGUUCGGAUUGUAGGCUGCAACUCGCCUACAUGAAGUCGGAAUCGCUAGUAAUCGCGGAUCAGCAUGCCGCGGUGAAUACGUUCCCGGGCCUUGUACACACCGCCCGUCACACCAUGAGAGUUUGUAACACCCAAAGUCGGU